CAAAUUAUUUAUAGUUCGGGAUCGCCAAAUUGAGUUCAUCGCCAAUCAGGCGGUCAUCGCUAGUAGGGGGAACGUGGUUUUUUUUGCGACAAAUUUUAAUUCAUCGCCAAUUUGGCGACAAACUCAAAAUUUCUCUGAAUUUGCAAAGAGAAGGGAGGCUGUGUAGGGCGCAUUAGGGCGAUGCAGGAGAAGGGCACGGGGAGCUUCGGGAAGAGGAGGAACAAGACCCACACGCUGUGCGUGCGGUGAGGGUGGAGGAACUUCCACCGCCAAAAGAGUCGGUGUAGUUCCUGCGGCUACCCCGCUACUUGAAUCUGCAAGUCAAGUUUGUUCUUGCAACAUAUAAUUGGAGUGUGAAGGCAAUCAAAAGGAAGACAACUGGUACCAAAAGGAUGAGAUAUCUCCGUCAUGUACCACGAAGGUUCAAGAACAAUUUCGGAGAAGGUAUUCAAUUUUUCUUCUUCUGAUUUGUAAUGUCCUAAAUUUGUAUUAGAUGGUUGACAAAUAGUCGGCAGAUUCCCCAUGGAAGAUAUUGAUUUUAGGACUCUCCUUUCACAAGGCUGCAGCUGUUUAAACUUAAUUGUUUCUUUUUAGAUUCUGGAGUCUUAUGAGGGUUUCUUAAAACUUAAUUGUUGAACGACAAGACUUCUUUGGA